GGGGUUGUGGCUCAGAGGUAGAGCACUCACCUUGCAAUCUCGCCUAGCAUGUGUGAGGCACUGGGUUCGAUCCUCAGCACCA
rnacentral:tRNA from 1 species